ensembl:lncRNA HULC hepatocellular carcinoma up-regulated long non-coding RNA
AUGCUCUAUGGGGUAGAGACGCUAGGCCGGCACUGCCUAGGUGGGCCGGGCGGUGCGAGGGUCGCCUUUCAGCCUUUACCUCUACCCACUGAAAUGGAGUAGGUCGGUGAGCGCCGAUCUGCUGGAGAAUCUCAUUAUCCCAUCGGCGCUCUGCCUGCUCCUGGCCUCCAAGCCUCUGAAGCCCCUCGGGUUUCAGCUGCCGGCUACCCUCGAGCCCGUGGUGCCCACGAGAGAGGCGACUUUACGUCAGCGGCCCUGGGCUGAGAUUUGAGAACGCGACCAAGUGGAGAAUGUUGGAGCCAGAUUUUAAAAUCCUUGUCUUCCUUCUGCGUGCUACUUGAUCUAAAUGAGAUACGGCAAAGUCACAGAACCUGUUUUUAUGUUUUUGCCUGAUUCAUACGGGCUUCUCCGGUGAAGAUGGGCCUGAAGUAACGCUUGGGUUGCUUCUGACGUUAUAACUCAUCCUGUAGCUGCAGCAACCGUGGUCCUUGCAACCUCAUAAAAAUGUUGCCAGCAUUGUUUCGAUAGUGCUGCUUAAUUCUUGGAAGGCCUCUUUGCUUUCUUCCCUGAGGUUCUUCGGACUUCACACAUUCCAGCAGUAGCUCUCUCAGCUCCUGUCCUGCACAGCUUUGAAGUGCUGGCUGGAGUGCAGUGGUGCCAUCUCGGCUCACUGCAGCCUCAACCUCCUGGGCUCAAGCGAUCCUCCUGCCACACCCUCCUGAGUAGCUGGGAUUACAGGUGAUGUCAUUGAACUCUUAAGUGCAAGAUGAAACAAGUCUUUCUGGGGUUCUAAGUAGAAAUGCAUAUGUAUCUUUGGAAGAAACUCUGAAGUAAAGGCCGGAAUAUUCUUUGUUUAAAACAUUAAAAACAAAACAGACCAAAGCAUCAAGCAAGAAGUUUCCUGGCAAUAAACUAAGCACAGCAUUAUUUUUUAAGGAACACAAAUUAAGUGUUCAACCUGUGGCAAAUUUGUACUUUCUCCCUGAAUUAUGUUGUUAUCAAAGAAAAAAAUUGGGAAGCAUGGCAAAAUAUCAUCAAAACUGAAACUAGAAUUA